GAUGAACGCUGGCGGCGUGCCUAAUACAUGCAAGUCGAGCGAACGGACGAGAAGCUUGCUUCUCUGAUGUUAGCGGCGGACGGGUGAGUAACACGUGGAUAACCUACCUAUAAGACUGGGAUAACUUCGGGAAACCGUAGCUAAUACCGGAUAAUAUUUUGAACCGCAUGGUUCAAAAGUGAAAGACGGUCUUGCUGUCACUUAUAGAUGGAUCCGCGCUGCAUUAGCUAGUUGGUAAGGUAACGGCUUACCAAGGCAACGAUGCAUAGCCGACCUGAGAGGGUGAUCGGCCACACUGGAACUGAGACACGGUCCAGACUCCUACGGGAGGCAGCAGUAGGGAAUCUUCCGCAAUGGGCGAAAGCCUGACGGAGCAACGCCGCGUGAGUGAUGAAGGUCUUCGGAUCGUAAAGCUCUGUUAGUAGGGAAGAACAUAUGUGUAAGUAACUGUGCACAUCUUGACGGUACCUAAUCAGAAAGCCCCGGCUAACUACGUG
rnacentral:rRNA from 1 species